CCAAUAAUACCCCUGCCUCAAAAUCUUAUGUGCCAGUGACUUUGCUCCCAUGUGAUCCCCUCAUGCACCUCCCGAAGUGUGUAGUCUGCCUCCGAAGGAGUCAAGCAUUUGAGCAGUGGAGAGCUAAAGGCUCUUCGGUAUAGAUCUCCAUCUAUGAGGACGAAGUUCGAGCUUCGGUGUUUGACUUGCCUGGCUAGGAUUCGGUCCGAAGGGAGGGUCCCAUCGGCCAAGU
rnacentral:lncRNA from 1 species